UAAACUUAUCGGGUGGGGCCAAACGCAGCGCUUUAUCUCGGCUCACAGGAGCACUAAUACAGACCUUCAAUGAGCUAACCUUACAUUUGUAGCUUUUCAAACCUACCACACUGUACAAUGCUUCGAAAGCGGAGAUCACAAGCUGGUCCAAUUCCA